GGGAACUGUGAGACAGGUGCUGCAUGGCUGUCGUCAGCUCGUGUUGUGAAAUGUUGGGUUAAGUCCCGCAACGAGCGCAACCCUUAUCCUUUGUUGCCAGCGGUCUGGCCGGGAACUCAAAGGAGACUGCCAGUGAUAAACUGGAGGAAGGUGGGGAUGACGUCAAGUCAUCAUGGCCCUUACGACCAGGGCUACACACGUGCUACAAUGGCGCAUACAAAGAGAAGCGACCUCGCGAGAGCAAGCGGACCUCAUAAAGUGCGUCGUAGUCCGGAUUGGAGUCUGCAACUCGACUCCAUGAAGUCGGAAUCGCUAGUAAUCGUGGAUCAGAAUGCCACGGUGAAUACGUUCCCGGGCCUUGUACACACCGCCCGUCACACCAUGGGAGUGGGUUGCAAAAGAAGUAGGUAGCUUAACCUUCGGGAGGGCGCUUACCACUUUGUGAUUCAUGACUGGGGUGAAGUCGUAACAAGGUAACCGUAGGGGAACCUGCGGUUGGAUCAC
rnacentral:rRNA from 1 species